rnacentral:rRNA from 1 species
GAAUGGCACCACGAGGGUUAUACUGUCUCCUUUUUCUAAUCAAUGAAACUAAUCUCCCCGUGAAGAAGCGGGGAUAACCAUAUAAGACGAGAAGACCCUAUGGAGCUUUAAACUUUAUAGCACCAGCUUAAUAAUUUCUCACAUUUCAGAGUAUUAACAAUAACUCUAGCUUCAUGACUAUAAGUUUUAGGUUGGGGUGACCGCGGAGCAAAAAUUAACCUCCACAUUGAACGGAAACAAUCCUGAGCCAAAAGCUACAACUUUAAGCACCAAUAAAUUGACAUCAAUUGACCCAAUAUUUUGAUCAACGAACCAAGUUACCCUAGGGAUAACAGCGCAAUCCGCCUCAAGAGCCCCUAUCGACAGGCGG